rnacentral:rRNA from 1 species
AACUAACGCUGGCGGCGUGCCUAACACAUGCAAGUCGUACGAGAAAGCCGGCUUCGGCUGGUGAGUAAAGUGGCGCACGGGUGAGUAACGCGUGGAUAAUCUGCCCUUAAGUGUGGAAUAACGUACCGAAAGGUGCGCUAAUACCGCAUAAUGCCUGGCAACACAAGUUGUCCGGCCAAAGAAGGCCUCUGUUUACAAGCUUUCGCUUCAGGAUGAGUCCGCGUACCAUUAGCUUGUUGGUGGGGUAAUGGCCUACCAAGGCUGCGAUGGUUAGCUGGUCUGAGAGGAUGAUCAGCCACACUGGAACUGAGACACGGUCCAGACUCCUACGGAGGCAGCAGUGGGGAAUAUUGCGCAAUGGGGGAAACCCUGACGCAGCGACGCCGCGUGAGCGAAGAAGGCCUCGGGUUGUAAAGCUCUGUUCUAAGGGACGAAGGACUUGGCUGUGAAUAAUGGUCAAGGGUGACGGUACCUUAGGAGAAAGCCCGGCUAACU